rnacentral:hammerhead_ribozyme from 1 species
CUCCAUUAGCUACACUGUGCUGAUGAGCCCCAAAAGGGCGAAACAGCUGUCCACCGUUGCUAAUGUGAGCAGGA